UGUAUCUGAAGUCUGACGAGGAUGAGAACCUCCGGGGGCAAGAGGUUCGACCCGAGCGAAGCGAGAGAACGUUGCGUCAGCAACGGCCCGCAGGGCGAGCCACGCAGUGGCGAGUCAUCCUCUAUCACCGACCA
rnacentral:sRNA from 86 species